rnacentral:lncRNA from 1 species
UGAUGUGACAUAUCAAAACUUUUCAUCCCUGAAAAAGAGGACCUAAAUGUGUCCGGCUGAUUUUGUUUUAUCUUAAGGGAAUUGUAUUCUGCUGGCUUUUUUUUUUAAUAAUGCAUUAAACCGGCCUCUGCAGAACUUCGCCAUUCUGUGCACUGCUUCUUUUUCUCUGUUUUUCUUCUCUGAUUUGGGAAAUGAAGAAGCAGGCUUUUGUUGUGUUCAAAGCUGGACUGUUAGGUGACAAACUUCAGCAUCUGAGAGACUCCACUGGAAAGAAAUCUCAAGACGCAUUGAAGAAUUCACUGCAGGAUGUAAUGCAAGAUGGAUAAUUUACUUCCACCACAUUCUGCCUCUUGUCUAGGGAUCAGCCUCAUGCGGAUGGAGUAGAAGUGAGGCACUUAUAAUCGCUGUGCCAUAUUGACUUGUAUACAACUAUCGGUUCACUAGUCAGUACACUGUACAAAGUAAAAGGUAUCAGAGAAAAUUAUACUCCCUCCUCUUUUCUUUUUUCUUUUUAUUUUUUUUUACUUUGGUAAGUUCAAACAUCAAACAUUUGGUGAAGGAGGUAGUACUUCAACAAAUACCAUGCAAAGGGUAAAUAUAUCACGAUGAAGCACAAAGAAACAAUAGGUGCACCUAAACACUGUACUCCAUCAUUUUUCUUCUCUUAAUCUUAAAAAGUUAAAACGACGGAUCUACAAAGGUGGUAGUUCUUUUUUUGUGAGCAUUUUCGUAUUAUUUUAUUUUUUAAACAUUUUUUUCGGGUUAUAAAAGCUAAAAAGAUGAGCUAGUUCUUUUACAAUUAAGGCUCCUACCAGGAGUUAACACUUAAAGACCUAAUGAUUGUAUCACUAAGGAUUAUUGGAGUUUCAGACAGCUGAAAGCAUGCUAUUACGAUUGGAAUAGCAUCCAAGCUUUGUACGAUAUCAGACUUCUCCUGAAGCAAGCUAGUAAAGCAUCCUUCAUCUUCCAACUCUAUGAUUAAAUCCAUUGCGAGCACCAGCCUUGAGAGGAGGGAAGUCAGCUUCAUCUCUCAGUUGGUAGAGCCCUUCUGGCCUACAGAUUUAUUCACGACAUGAUGCAAUUUAAUUAGAAAAAAAAUGCAACAGCACGACUGUAUCAUGAAAUGCAAAAAGAACACGAGAUCGCAAUGUAAGAAUCACGUACUUGCUUCCUGUUUCAGCAGGCGAAGAGCUCACAGUCACAGGCGUUGAAACAGCGGCUACUGCAGGCCACUUUCUAGCAGGCAGAGGUGGGAAUUCUUC